AUUGAACGCUGGCGGCAUGCUUUACACAUGCAAGUCGAACGGUAACAGGGUGCUUGCACCGCCGACGAGUGGCGAACGGGUGAGUAAUGCGUCGGAACGUGCCGAGUAGUGGGGGAUAACGCAUCGAAAGGUGUGCUAAUACCGCAUACGUACUGAGGUAGAAAGUGGGGGACCUUCGGGCCUCACGCUAUUCGAGCGGCCGACGUCUGAUUAGCUAGUUGGUGAGGUAAAGGCUCACCAAGGCGACGAUCAGUAGCUGGUCUGAGAGGAUGAUCCGCCACACUGGGACUGGGACACGGCCCAGACUCCUACGGGAGGCAGCAGUGGGGAAUUUUGGACAAUGGGCGCAAGCCUGAUCCAGCCAUGCCGCGGGUCUGAAGAAGGCCUUCGGGUUGUAAAGGACUUUUGUCCGGGAGCAAAUACCCAGUGCUAAUAACGCUGGGGGCUGAGAGUACCGGAAGAAUAAGCACCGGCUAACUACGUGCCAGCCGCCGCGGUAACAC
rnacentral:rRNA from 1 species